CCCAGAUGACGGAUGCGCAGCAAAGUGGGUGAGUGCUCUGCCAGGCAGGGGGGAUUGGGCCGUGCUGAGCGCCCGCUCGAGACAUCCAGGGCCUGGACAUGAGCUCCCAGCAAGAGCCGCGGGCCCGGAGGUUCCCAAUUGAAGCAGGCGACUGUCGCAGUGCAGCCGCAGCUUCGGAGACGCAGGAGCGGGUGGGCACCGCACGGACUGCAGGAAGGCAGCUGCGGCGCUGCCCCGCGAACCACUGCCUGACGCUGCCCCACGUCCCCAUUGAUGUCUUCAUUGCCAUGGGAGGGAACUGCCGGCCACGCGCCACCUGAUGCCGCCGCGCCACACAGC